rnacentral:rRNA from 1 species
CAGGACGAACGCUGGCGGCACGCUUAACACAUGCAAGUCGAACGAACAGAGGAAGCUUGCUUCCGAAGUUAGUGGCGGACGGGUGAGUAACACGUGAGCAAUCUGCCUUUAAGUGGGGAAUAACGUUUGGAAACGGACGGUAAUACCGCAUAAUAUACACGAACCGCAUGAUUUGUGUAUCAAAGAUUUAUCGCUUAAAGAUGAGCUCGCGUCUGAUUAGAUAGUUGGUGAGGUAACGGCCCACCAAGUCGACGAUCUGUAGCCGGACUGAGAGGUCGGACGGCCACAUUGGGACUGAGACACGGCCCAAACUCCUACGGGAGGCAGCAGUGGGGGAUAUUGCACAAUGGAGGAAACUCUGAUGCAGCGACGCCGCGUGAAGUGAAGAAGUAUUUCGGUAUGUAAAGCUCUAUCAGCAGGGAAGAAAGGCUCGAAAGAGAGAUGACGGUACCUGACUAAGAAGCCCCGGCUAACUACGUGCCAGCAGCCGC